AUCUCUCUGAAUUUGGUGUGCUCGUGAAGUUUCUACCCGUUUGGAAAUACAAGAAAUUCUUUUGCAUGGCAUCAAUUAUGUCUAAACAUGCCAAAUCUGAGAGGCCAAGGAGUCUUAAGGGCCCUUUUGAUUCUGGCUGAGAAUCCAUCAUUACAGGUAUCAUUCAGAUUCUUGUCAACCAGACACUUUUUGUCGUUUGUUCUUCAAAUUUUAAUCAUAACUAGCAUUUG